rnacentral:tRNA from 5 species
UGCGGGGUGGAGCAGUCUGGUAGCUCGUCGGGCUCAUAACCCGAAGGUCGUUGGUUCAAAUCCAGCCCCCGCUUCCA